GGGAAACAGGUUAAUAUUCCUGUACUUGGUGUUACUGCGAAGGGGGGACGGAGAAGGCUAUGUUGGCCGGGCGACGGUUGUCCCGGUUUAAGCGUGUAGGCUGGUUUUCCAGGCAAAUCCGGAAAAUCAAGGCUGAGGCGUGAUGACGAGGCACUACGGUGCUGAAGCAACAAAUGCCCUGCUUCCAGGAAAAGCCUCUAAGCAUCAGGUAACAUCAAAUCGUACCCCAAACCGACACAGGUGGUCAGGUAGAGAAUACCAAGGCGCUUGAGAGAACUCGGGUGAAGGAACUAGGCAAAAUGGUGCCGUAACUUCGGGAGAAGGCACGC
rnacentral:rRNA from 1 species